rnacentral:tRNA from 1 species
GCCUGGGUGGCUCAGUCCGUUGAGCGUCUGACUUCGGCUCAGGUCACGAUCUCACGGUUCGUGAGUUCGAGCCCCACGUCGGGCU